GCAAACUUUCCGAGGUCCGGAGACAGGUCGUGGGCCCGCCGGGCCGCCCGCCCCCGCCGCGUGCGCGCGCGCGCAUGAGAGUGUGUGUGUGUGCGUGUGCAAGGGGCCGAGGCUGGAAAGGAAACCGCCUGCCUCGCCGGGGAGAAGGAAGGAGCCUCCCCCUCCUCGCCCGCCCCCUCCCCACUUCCCGUCCAGCUCGGCGCCUCGCUUCCCCCUCCGCCGGCCGCGGGCGCACGGAACCUGCCCAUCGCCGACGAGCUCGAGGCGGCGGAAGCCGAGCGGGAGGAGCCGGCUGGGCGCAUGUCGGGCGGGGAACCCCAGGGCGCCCCAGCCGGUGGCGGCGGGGGCCACCGUGCAGGCAGCCAGGAUUGCUUACCACCUGCAGCCUCUUUCCGGAAGAAGCGGCUGGCACGGAGGCCAGGCUACAUGAGAAGCACAGCUGGGCCCCGGAUCGGGUUCCUCUCCCCAGCAGUGGGCACUCCGUUCUGGGCCCAGGGAGGGAUGUGCAGUGAGGAGUCCCACCACUCUGAGUCCAGGGCCAGCCCAUGUGGCCUUGACCCUGGAGGCCAGGGGCAAGGCCCCUCCGUUGGGAAUCCUGUUUCCAAGGGCAUCACAGCUGUGACAUCUGUGGACCACCUAGGCCUGGCUCUGACCCCUGUGAGAGGAACCUCAGGGCUCUUUGGGAUUCAGCUCAGAGCUGGCACCAAGCUGCCCGACAGGCUAACCAGGUCUUGUGGCCCUGGGGACACUGGGUGUCAGGAGGAGCUUCCAUCCAUGGACAGCUCUGAGGCCCCAGGCCCUGGUUGGGAUGCAGCCUGCACUGAAGGAGGAAGGGGCACCUGGACCAAAGGCUGUCUUGCCCCAAAGGAGAUGAGUAGUAACAGCUGCAGCCUCCAAAGUGGCCUGAAGUUUCCCUCAGCCCCCGCCGGCUCUCAGGAUGCCUUCACCUCCAGCUUUAGCUUCAUUCAGCUCUCACUUGGCUCUGCCGGGGAACGUGGAGAAGCGGAAGGCUGCCCGCCAUCCAGAGAGGCCGAGGCCCCUCAUCAGAGGCCCGAGGAGCUGGAAGCCAAGGCUCUCAGCUUGGACAGCCCCCACGAACACCCUCGACUUCUCUCUCCCACCUUCAACCUCAAGGCUACUCAGGGCCUAGCAGACUCUGCCCAGGCUGCAGCGGGCAGCCCCCGGCUGGAGUGUGAGAUGGUGUCUUUGUCGGACACGGACGCUGCCUCCUCCUGCUCCCCAGAUUCCUCAUGGUUCGAAGGCAGCAGCUUGGGGGACUCUCACCGUUGGGACGAGCUGCUUGGGAAAUGCGAGCCCGUGCUGCUGGACUGCCUGCUGAGUGACCGGAGGCAACUGGAGGUAAAAUCCUUAAGAUUAAAGCUUCAGAAACUUCAAGAAAAAGCAGUUGAGGAUGAUGAUUUUGAUAAAGCUGAGAUGUUGAAUCAAAGAUUAGAAGACCUGGAGAAAGAGAAAAGCAGCCUGCACUUUCAGCUUCCUUCGAGGCAGCCGGCCCUCAGCAGCCUCCUGGGCCACCUGGGAGCACAGGCCCAGGCUGCCUUGCGCCGGGCCACUCAGCAGGCUGGUGGUGACGACACCCAGGCCCCGCUCAGGAUGGAGCCAAAGACGUUGGAACCUACUGCUCAGGAUAACCUACAUGUGUCCAUCACCAGACGAGACUGGCUUCUUCAAGAAAAGCAGCAGUUGCAGAAGGAAAUUGAAGCCCUCCAAGCGAGGAUGUCGGUGCUGGAAGCAAAAGAUCACCAGCUGAGAAAGGAAAUAGAAGCUCAAGCGCAGCUCCUCCCAUGGCAGGGCUGCGACCUGACUCCCCUGAUGGGCAGGCUGUCCCUGGGUGAGCUGCAGGAGGUCAGCAAGGCUGUGCAUGACACCCUGGUCUUAGCCAAUCAGAUUCCCCUCUGUGCAGAACCGCCUGAAACCGUAAGGAGCCUCCAGGAAAGGAUAAAAUCCCUCAGCUUGUCACUUAAAGAAAUCACUGCCAAGAUCUGUCUGAGUGAGAGACUCUGCAGUACUCUGAGGAAGAAACUUAACGAUAUUGAAACCCAACUCCCAGUGCUGCUGGAGGCCAAAAUGCUUGCCGUAUCAGGAAACCAUUUCUGUACAGCAAAGGAGCUCACAGAGGAGAUUAGGUCAUUAACAUCAGAGAGGGACGGGCUGGAGGGACUCCUCAACAAGCUGUUGGUGCUGAGUUGCAGGAAUGUCAAAAAGCUGGGACGUGUUAAAGAAGAUUACAACAGUCUGAGAAGAGAACUGGACCACGGGGAAGCCGCCUACGAAACAAGUGUGAAGGAGAAUACUCUGAAGUACAUGGAAGUGCUUGAAAAUAAACUGCGCAGCUGCAAGUGUCCGCUGCUUGGAAAAGUGUGGGAAGCUGACUUGGAAGCUUGUUGGCUGCUUAUCCAGAGCCUGCAGCUCCGGGAGGCCAGGGGCAGCCUGUCUGCAGAAGAUGAGAGACAGAUGGAUGACUCAGGGGGAGCCACCUGUGCAACCGUUCCUGCCAUCCCCUCCAGGCCCCACUCUGAAGAUGAGAGGAAGACCCCUUUGCAGGCAUUCGAAGAAUGGAAGGCUUACCUGACCCCAUCUCCUCACUGUGCUGGCAGUGAACAGAAAGAGGAGCCUUACAUCUUUUCUGCAGAACUUGGAGAAAAAUGUGAAGCCAUAGGCAAGAAGUUAUUGUACCUAGAGGAUCAACUUCACACAGCAAUCCAGAGUCACGAUGAAGAGCUCAUUCAGUCUCUCAAGAGGGAGCUCCAGAUGGUGAAGGAAACUCUGCAGGCCAUGAUCCUGCAGCUCCAGCCAGCAAAGGAGGCAGGAGAAAGAGAGGCUGCAGCUUCCUGUGUGACAGCUGGUGUCCAGGAAGCACAGGCCUGAGGCAUGACAGGAUGGGGGAAGGAGGAAAGAGCGCAGCUCCUGCCUCCGUUAGGAUCUAUGCACAUGAGACAAUUUUUGCCACUUCCUGAAGUCACACUGUCAUUUUCAGAAGGCAGCUGGUGCUUUGCUGGGGCUCCCGUGCUGUGCAGAGCUGCUGUCCUCAGUCAAGGAGAUGCCCCGGCUCACGCCAGCCAUUGGCCACGGUUCAGGGAACAGAGCAAAGCACAGUGUUUGAAUUUGCUCAUUGUCAAUUUGCUGGUUGUGUUCUCUACAGUUUUAUCUUCAGCAUUUUUGAAAAUAUAUGAUACAUAUUUUAAUAAGUAGAAUCGGUUUGUUCCAGGAAUUCUUGGUUUUUUGAUGAUGGACCAAAUUCCUGAAUUAUUUAUAACUAUAGCUAAAAAUUAUUAUGUACUCAUCACAUGGCACUUGAAAUCCUUGAAUCUUUAAAUUGAUUCCAGUAAAGCAAAACUUGGGAAGAGUCAGAACUGCCCGUAUUGUCCAUAAGGAAUCCGUAGUUUGACGUGCGUCAUUUUAAAAAGCCUCCCAGAUGGAAGGCAUGUUCACAGUCACUGCCCCAAGUGUUUUGUGUUACUCAGGCAUCAUCAUGAAUAAUUCUGUGAGGUCCUGAUGUAUUUGAAAAGCCUGGAAGCUGAUAACUGCUCUGAGUGGCCCCCCAAAUAAGGGUUCUCUGGGACCCUCAGUGGACAAUGUGUUCCUUUCCUUGUUGAGAGGCCUGACCAAGUUUAAGUACUGGGGCAGGUGAAUGAUGCUUUAACCACGUGCUGCAACUCAUCUCUAGCCUUUGCUGGUGUCUGAGUCAGCCAGGAAGCUUGCUAAAGGCCAGGGGUCCUCCGCUGGCCACACAGCUGUCUCAGGACAAACCCCCUCUUUGGCCACUGUGACCACGGAAGACCCAGGACCAUUUACCUCAAACAAUAAUACAGGGCAGUUUUUGUGAGGGCAACAUAAAAAGAAAUUAAGGCUUGAGUUUAAAAGCAACAAGACAACAACAAUUACAGUUUAAACUUUUAUGGAGACAGUCAAGACCACAAGCCAAAGGGCAGAUUGAAAGUGGUGACUUCGAUGCUCAUCUGCCUGUGCCACAGUGUGAGAGAAUAAAUGAUACAUUACAUGGCCCCGCGUGCUGAGACGCUGGCGUUGAAAUGGCUGCCGGUUUAUCUUUCAGCAGCCCGAGUUGGGGCACCUUCUCAGUCUGGAACAGCCUCAGUUCCUUCCAACUUCCUGAAAUUUCAAGAUCAAAAUGAUCCUUCCCCAAAUCAUAUGAAUAUAAGAAAGUUUUCUUCCUCUGCCAUCGGGGUGGUCUGCCCAUCCGGGGAACAUGUAAGGGCUCGUGUGUAUGUGCUGGGAUGUCCUAAGACCUUUAAAGUCAUUAUCACCGUUAAUUCUUAUAGCAACCUUAGGAUGUGGGUGUUUGUAGAUGGCCAAACUGAGCCUUAGGAAACUAAUUAACUUCCUCAAGGCACAGAGCUGGUAAGCAGUGAAACAACAGUAGCACUUGGAGAUAGGUAGAAUGCUCGUAACUGGUGUUCUUUCUAAAGUGCCUUUAAUGUCUUUUUGGGACUUUGAGCCAUGGAACUUACUAGUUCACUUAAGAACUCGUGGUCGCCUUGGGAGUCCUUCCUGGAGAGUCAGAGAAACUGAGCCUCGGGAAUCUUGACUUCCCACUGCCGGAGAUAUCAACCAAUCAGAAAACAAUAGAACUUUCUAUUUCAGACCCCUUGAUUGAGAACAUUGAAAAUAACAUUACCACUAAAGUGAGGAACAGGACAAAGCUGCCACCAAUAUCACUGAUAAAGCUGCAAUGACAUCUCCAUACACAUAGCUUUUUCUUCCCUUUGACUUAUGUCCCCAGCAGAAAUUCCCAGGAGUGAGAAUACUAGGACAAAGGAGAAAGGAAAAGUGGUGGUUCCUGAUUACUGAGAGCUCCAGAGUGAACUCACAGGGGUUCUAAAGCACUUUCUUCCUUUACCCACACUGGAUGGGGGCAUUUAUCUCCACGUUCAGUGGGGGCUCCAGCUCUCAGCAGGACAACAGCAUCUGUAACAACCACACAGCUGGGGACACUGGGAACAGAGCCUUUACUCUGCUUUCGUAUAAGCCUUUAGUAAAUAAAAAGCCCAUGCCACAGUCUUUCUUCCCCAGGAUGGAAGCGUCUGAUGCUUUGUGUGGGCCCAGAGAGUUCCAUCCUUUACAAGCAGGACGAGUAAGAACUUCCUGACGGAGGAACAGGAGGAGAACUGGAGAUAAUACACACUGAACUUGAUAAUACACGCUGUGGGGAAGACGCUUGUGGAGGUAUGAAGAGGAUGUUUAAAAAAAUGAAAAUG